rnacentral:rRNA from 1 species
AGCAAUCUGCCUUUGGAUGGGGGAUAACAGCCGGAAACGACUGCUAAUACCGCAUAAUGCAGCAGGACCGCAUGAUUUUGCUGCCAAAGAUUUAUCGUCCAAAGAUGAGCUCGCGUCUGAUUAGCCAGUUGGCGGGGUAACGGCCCACCAAAGCGACGAUCAGUAGCCGGACUGAGAGGUUGAACGGCCACAUUGGGACUGAGACACGGCCCAGACUCCUACGGAAGGCAGCAG